UUUAGAAAACAGUACAUAUGUGGACCUGUGUGCAAGACGUGUAGUUUCUUAGAUGAUACAAUGGUUUUGGUGAACCUCAUUACACAUGGAAACGAUAUAUCUACACUAGAUGACUAUAAACCAGACAUUUAUCAUAAGGUCACACUUGAGCUAAAGUUGAAUAUCACAUGCAGUCGAAGAGAUAAUAAGAUCUGAGGAGCUCAUUACACAACAGCGAUAAUGUAAUUUGUAACACCCCACAAACUCUAAGGUGACCUCUAUAUGGACUACAAUAAUUCAAAAACACUUUUCAAGGUUAUAUAUUUACCCGUAUUUUCUGUGGAUACGCCUGUAUGGACGUGAAUCUGCCUUUGUAGUGUUUAGCCCAUGCUUCCUAAGGUGUCCUGUAAUAGGCCUAUAUAAUCUUAACCAAUAUUCGUGAUAGACACUGUAAAUUGACAAUGAAGAGGAAAAAUUACAAAAAAAGAUUACCGUGACUUCAACGAAAACGCUUGGCAAGCGGGCACCGGUGAUAAUCCAGCUAAUUUCCGAAAUGUCCAUGUUACGAAAUGUCCGCGUCAGCGUUUGGAAAUGUCAACACUCAUUCAUUAAUUAUUCAGCCAAAAAUACAAAUAUAUACAAAAGAAACCAAAAAGACAAUAAUUCAAUCUAAACUGGCCCGGAUUAUUAAUAGUGUUUGUUUAACACUCUGGAUAUCAGGCCUAUUUAUUCAGACUUACUGGCCAAAUCCUGCCAAACUACAGCUCUACUAUAAUUGACCUAAAAAACUAAGACAAGAGUAUAAGAAAUAUAUUAAAUAUAUUCGUAACAAAUAUUACAAAGAAUUCCACUGGACAAUUUUAAACAAGGAUUUUAGUGCCGGCAAAAGUAAUGCGCUAGUUCCCUAUCGAUGGCUAGGCCUAGAUUACUAGGCAUGUCGCAGGGGCACUGGUUGGGCCGAAAAGUUGACUGACUUCACGACGUACAACGACAAUGAGGGACGCAUCGUCCCACUAAUUUUGUUUUGAAGUUGGGAACGUUUCACGUUCGUAUCAUUAAAAAUAAUAAUUUUGUUACUAAA